GUUAAUGUUCUGGAAAUGGAGGGGUUGCCUCAUCGAUCAGAGGGAAUGAAAGGUUGGAGAGGCUUCAGUUGUUUCCUCUGUAGCGAUGGGGGCUGAGGGGAGACCAGAGGCAGACCGAGGCUGAGUAGAGAUCUGAGAGAAGAGAACCGACAUCGUUUGUUCACCAGGCAGACGUUGAUGGACUUUCGAUCGGUCAGGACAUGAAAGGAUACAAGGCGAAGGCAGGAAAAUGGAGCUGAGAGGGAAAAUGGAUUUACCGUGAUGAAGUGGCAGAGCAGUUUUGAUGGGCCAAAUGGCCUAAUUCUGCUCCUGUCUCUCAUGGUCUUAUGGUCCAAGAGCAGCCUCUCAUUCAAUUAGAGCAAGAGCAAUGAACUGGUUCUGGACUUUGGAGGAGGAAACAGGAACCCAUGAGGCAAUCCUCAUCGGGGCUCAAAGGUGGAGACGUUCAGCAACUUUAAAUUCCACAGUGUGAACAUUUCAGAGGAUCUGUUCCGAGCCCGGGACACAAGUGCAAUUACACGAAAGCAGGAACUGUCUGUUCCUGCUCAGAAGCUUGAAUGGAUUCAGAAUGACAUCUAAAACCCUGACAAACUUGGACAGAUGUGUGGUGGGGAGCAUGUUCAGAGGUUGCAUCAUGGCCUGGUAUGGAAACACCAAAGCCCCUGAAAGGAAAAUCCGAUUAGAAAUAGUGGAUAUGGCCCAGCACAUCACGGGUAAAACUCUCCUUACAACUGAGCACAUCUCUGAGGGCUGCUGUCACAGGAAAUCAGCAUCCAUCAUCAAGGACCCCCACCACCCAGGCCAUGCUCUCUCCUCAAUGCUGCCAUCAGGAAGAAGGUGCAUGAGCCUCAGGAGCCUCAACCCCAGGUUCAGGAACAGUUAUUACACUCAACCAACAGGUCCUAAAAAAGAGGGGAUAAUUUUACUCAAAUUAACUUGCCCCAUCACUAAACCAUUCCCACAACCGAUGGACAUGAUCAACAACUCUUCAUCUCAUGUUCUUAAUUUUUAUUUCUGGGUUAUUUAUUAGUUUUAUUCUUUUGUAUUUGAAUUUCGUUGUCUUUUCCACAUGGUUGUUUUGUUUGUCCUUUUGUGGGCGAUCUUUCAUUCAUCGUAUAAUGGUUCUUGAGUUUACUGAAUUUACAAUAUAAUCAAAUCCCAGGAUUAUACUUGGUGACAUGCGUAUACUUUGAUAAUAAAUUUACUUUGCACA